CACAGGGGAGGGGGCAGGUGUGAUGGGCACAGGGGAGGGGCUGAUGUGAUAGGCACAGUGGAGAAGCUGGUGUGAUGGGCACGGGAGGGGCUGGUGUAAUGGCUACAGGGGAAGGGCAGGUGUAAUCGGCACAGAAGAGAAGCUGGUGUGAUGGGCACAGAGGAGGGGCUGGUGUGAUGGGCACAGGGGAGGGACUGCUGUGAUGGGCACAGGGGAGGGUCAGGUGUGAUGGGCAUAGGGGAGGGGCUGGUGUGACAGGCACAGGGAAGGGGGUCAUGUGUGAUGGCAUGGGGAAGGGGACAGGUGUGAUAGGUACAGGGGAGGGGCUGGUGUAAUGGGCACAGGGGAGGAACUGCUGUGAUAGGCACAGGGGAGUGGGCAGGUGAGAUGGGUACAGGGGAGGGGCAGGUGUGAUGGCUACAGUGGAGGGGACAGGUGUGAUGGGCACAGGGGAGGGGCUGGUGUGAUGGACACAGGGUAGGGGCUGGUGUGAUGGGUACAGGGGAG
rnacentral:lncRNA from 1 species